GAUGAACGCUAGCGGCAGGCCUAACACAUGCAAGUCGAACGGUAACAGGAAAAAGCUUGCUUUUUUGCUGACGAGUGGCGCACGGGUGCGUAACGCGUAUACAAUCUACCUUUUACAGGGGGAUAGCCUUUAGAAAUGAAGAUUAAUACCCCAUAGAAUAUAUAGAUGGCAUCAUUUAAAUAUUAAAGUUUCGGCGGUAAAAGAUGAGUAUGCGUUCUAUUAGCUAGUAGGUGUGGUAACGGCACACCUAGGCGACGAUAGAUAGGGGCCCUGAGAGGGGGAUCCCCCACACUGGUACUGAGACACGGACCAGACUCCUACGGGAGGCAGCAGUGAGGAAUAUUGGACAAUGGGCGGAAGCCUGAUCCAGCCAUGCCGCGUGCAGGAAGACUGCCCUAUGGGUUGUAAACUGCUUUUAUACGGGAAGAAACCCAACUACGUGUAGUUGGCUGACGGUACCGUAAGAAUAAGCAUCGGCUAACUCCGUGCCAGCCGCCGCCGUAACAC
rnacentral:rRNA from 1 species